GUGGCAUUAGCUCAGCUGGACAGAGCAACCGCCUUCUAAGCGGUUGGUCGCAGCAGAAUCACGCCUAA
rnacentral:tRNA from 1 species